GACGAACGCUGGCGGCGUGCUUAACACAUGCGAGUCGAACGGAAAGGCCCUGCUUUUGUGGGGUGCUCGAGUGGCGAACGGGUGAGUAACACGUGAGUAACCUGCCCUUGACUUUGGGAUAACUUCAGGAAACUGGGGCUAAUACCGGAUAGGAGCUCCUGCUGCAUGGUGGGGGUUGGAAAGUUUCGGCGGUUGGGGAUGGACUCGCGGCUUAUCAGCUUGUUGGUGGGGUAGUGGCUUACCAAGGCUUUGACGGGUAGCCGGCCUGAGAGGGUGACCGGCCACAUUGGGACUGAGAUACGGCCCAGACUCCUACGGGAGGCAGCAGUGGGGAAUAUUGCACAAUGGGUGGAAGCCUGAUGCAGCAACGCCGCGUGCGGGAUGACGGCCUUCGGGUUGUAAACCGCUUUCGCCUGUGACGAAGCGUGAGUGACGGUAAUGGGUAAAGAAGCACCGGCUAACUACGUG
rnacentral:rRNA from 1 species